CACCAGCCAUGUGUCAGUUUC
rnacentral:siRNA from 1 species